GCCCACAGUCAUAUCUCCCUGCAGCUCUCGCCUGGUUUCAUUCUGAAGCUAAUCAGGGUUGAGCCUGGCUCUUACCUGGAUGGGAGACCUCCUGGGGGAAACUAAGGUUGCUGCUGGCA
ensembl:rRNA 5S_rRNA 5S ribosomal RNA